CAAAUUUGAGUUGGAGUUCAGUAUUGACGGAGUGAAUUGGUAUCGCCCCCCAGGGCAGCCUUCUCUGGGGACGUACAUGCUAACCAGGCUCGUGUUCGCCAAGUACGUCCGCCUCCUGCCAAAGUUUUUUGGCCUUCGCUUUGACGUCUUAGGGUGCACGCCUGACGACACCUCUCGCGGCAUCUUUUGCAACAGCACAGGCACCAGCCUCGGCCUCGACGGUUCAAUGACG